rnacentral:misc_RNA from 1 species
GAAAUGCGAUAAUUAAUGUGAAUUGCAGAAUUCAGUGAAUCAUCGAGUCUUUGAACGCACAUUGCGCCCCCUUGUAUUCCGGGGGGCAUGCCUGUCCGAGCGUCAUUGCUGCCCUCAAGCACGGCUUGUGUGUUGGGCUUCCGUCCCUGGCAACGGGGACGGGCCCAAAAGGCAGUGGCGGCACCAUGUCUGGUCCUCGAGCGUAUGGGGCUUUGUCACCCGCUCCCGUAGGUCCAGCUGGCAGCUAGCCUCGCAACCAAUCUUUUUAACCAGGUUGACCUCGGAUCAGGUAGGGAUACCCGCUGAACUUAAGC